rnacentral:misc_RNA from 1 species
GAAAUGCGAUAACUAGUGUGAAUUGCAGAAUUCCGUGAAUCAUCGAGUCUUUGAACGCACAUUGCGCCCCCUGGUAUUCCGGGGGGCAUGCCUGUCCGAGCGUCAUUACUGCCCAUCAAGCACGGCUUGUGUGUUGGGUCGUCGUCCCCUCUCCGGGGGGGACGGGCCCCAAAGGCAGCGGCGGCACCGCGUCCGAUCCUCGAGCGUAUGGGGCUUUGUCACCCGCUCUGUAGGCCCGGCCGGCGCUUGCCGAACGCAAAUCAAUCUUUUUCCAGGUUGACCUCGGAUCAGGUAGGGAUACCCGCUGAACUUAAGC